AGAGUUUGAUCCUGGCUCAGGAUGAACGCUAGCGGCAGGCCUAAUACAUGCAAGUCGAACGGUCAGCAAUGACAGUGGCGCACGGGUGCGUAACGCGUAUGCAACCUACCCAUCAAAGGGGGAUAGCCCGGGGAAACCCGGAUUAAUACCACAUAAGAUAGUAUUCUGGCAUCAGAGAGCUAUUAAACAUUUAUGGUUGAUGGAUGGGCAUGCGUUAGAUUAGCUAGUUGGUGUAGUAACGGUGCACCAAGGCAAUGAUCUAUAGGGGUUCUGAGAGGAAGAUCCCCCACACUGGUACUGAGAUACGGACCAGACUCCUACGGGAGGCAGCAGUAGGGAAUAUUGGGCAAUGCUCGCAAGAGUGACCCAGCCAUGCCGCGUGCAGGAAGAAGGCCUUCUGGGUUGUAAACUGCUUUUGGAAGGGAACAAAAUGGGCAUGCGUGCCAACUUGAGUGUACCUUCAGAAUAAGCACCGGCUAACUCCGUGCCAGCAGCCGCGGUAAUACGGAGGGUGCAAGCGUUGUCCGGAUUUAUUGGGUUUAAAGGGUGCGUAGGCGGCUUAUUAAGUCAGGGGUGAAAGACUAUUGCUUAACAAUGGCAGUGCCUUUGAUACUGAUAGGCUUGAGUACAGCUGAGGCAGAUGGAACGGGUGGUGUAGCGGUGAAAUGCAUAGAUACCAUCCAGAACACCGAUUGCGAAGGCAGUCUGCUAAACUGUAACUGACGCUGAGGCACGAAAGCGUGGGGAUCGAACAGGAUUAGAUACCCUAGUAGUCC
rnacentral:rRNA from 1 species